UUUAUUAAUUAUAGUAACAAUAACAAGGUGGAAUUCUAGGAACCUCCAGUGCGUCGUAUUAUAUGACGCAUCGUACAUUUAUAAAUAUAGAUAGACCGUAACAGUAAGAUCGACUUUACAUUUUAAAAUUGUGUUUAUAAAUAACGUACACAGAUAGUUACAUAGCGUCUUUACAACAGCCCCUAAAUCAAACUUUUGAAUCACACGUCUUCUCUCCUCGCCCCCUCCCCUCCAUAUAACUCGGAAGAUUGACGCGUGAUCCGUCCAAUCAACGCGCUCCGUUUCCAAACAGGCGGGCUCGUUUGUUGCAUCGUAACAAGCUAGGCUGCAACCACCCAGACUGAACUCCUCCAUACAAAUACACACGAGCGCUGCCUUGUUUUGGUCUCUGUUGCAGCUUCGCUAAAAAAGAAAACCCAGCGACUUUUUGAGGAACUUUAAGUCUGGAGCUUUAAGCCGAUUCGGUACUAAAUAACGGCUGGAUGCAUAUUUCGCGCGAUUUGUUUAAAUGCACUUUUGGGAUUUUUGCAAACAGCGCUUUGAUCUUCGGGGUAAAUGGGGUCGUGCGCUGCUGAAUGCGCUUGUUUUGAUAGUGCUUUCGGAUCUCCAGACGACAAAAAGGACACUUUAAAUUUUUUUUCAACAUUUGUAAACUUUUUGGUGUUUUAUGGUACUUGGAGCAGUUUUUGAAAAAUGACGGAUGGAUUAUUUAAACUUAUUUUUAAUAUUGUAAAAUGCUGCUGAAAACCUACGUGUACUAAAGGUGUCGAUGAACUCCGGCUGUGCUAACGGGCUAAUUCAACCCCACGUCGGAGCAAAAACAACUUGUUUAGGUGCAAACAAAAUGUAUUUUUAUGAACGGAAACGGAUUUACCUCAGUUUUCACAUUUUUUUGAAUGCAUGCAUGACGCUUUGACUUUUAACCGCGUGAUAUUUGUGUUUUUGUUAAGAUGGCAAGCCCGACCACGGAGCAAGGAUGUUUUUCGGACGUGAAGAAGGUGGGUUAUUUAAGGAAACCCAAAAGCAUGCACAAAAGGUUUUUUGUCUUGAGGGCAACGAGCGCCUCCGGACCGUCCCGAUUGGAGUACUACGAAAACGAGAAGAAAUGGAGACACAAGUCUGGAGCCCCCAAAAGGUCAAUUGCGCUGGAAACCUGCUUUAAUAUUAACAAAAGAGCGGAUUCAAAAAAUAAACAUCUUGUGGCGCUUUACACCAAGGAUGAGUACUUUGCCAUCGCGGCUGACAGUGAGACGGAGCAGGAGUCUUGGUAUCAAGCCCUGGUCGAGCUUCAUAACAGAGGUAAGGUCCACGAAAGUGCCCCAGGCAACGGAGCUGGCGAGGAUAAUUACGGCGAAACCACGCCGGGACCUGCCUUUAAAGAAGUCUGGCAGGUUAUUUUGAAACCAAAGGGUCUGGGUCAAACAAAGAACUUGAUUGGGGUUUACAGAUUGUGCCUGACCAGUAAAACCAUCAUUUUUGUGAAGCUCAACUCGGAUGCUGCUGCCGUGGUGCUGCAGCUGAUGAACAUCAGGAGGUGUGGACAUUCUGAAAAUUUCUUCUUCAUUGAAGUCGGGAGGUCUGCAGUGACCGGGCCCGGGGAGUUUUGGAUGCAAGUGGAUGAUUCGGUGGUGGCUCAGAACAUGCAUGAAACAAUAUUAGAAGCCAUGAAAGCUAUGAGUGAGGAGUUCAGACCACGCAGCAAAAGUCAGUCAUCGUCCAACUGCUCAAACCCAAUCUCUGUGCCUGUCAGGAGGCAUCAUCACAAUAAUCCACCUCCCAGCCAAGUUGGCUUAGGUAGACGCUCGCGGGCAGAGAGUGUGACAGCCACUUCUCCUGUUAGGACUGGUAAACACAGCCACUCAUUCAGAGUGAGAGCAUCCAGUGAUGGAGAAGGCACCAUGUCUAGGCCGGCAUCCGUGGAUGGGAGUCCCAGCAGCCCGCUUACGACCCGACCUCAGUCGCAGCGACACAGGGGUGGAUCUAGACUUCACCCGCCACUCAAUCAUAGCAGAUCGAUCCCCACACCCACUUCGCGGUGCUCCCCUUCAGCUUUCAGUCCCGUCAGCCUGUCUUCCAGCAGCACCAGCGGGCACGGGUCCACCUCCGAAUGCCUCUUUCCACGUCGCUCUAGCGCCUCCAUAUCCGGAUCGCCCAGUGACGGGGGAUUUAUCUCUUCGGAUGAAUACGGCUCGAGCCCAUGUGACUUUCGGAGCUCCUUUCGCAGUGUGACACCUGACUCGCUUGGCCACACACCACCAGCCAGGGAGGAGGAGAUCAAUAAUUAUAUUUGCAUGGCCAAGCCUGGUGGUGGAUUGCAAUCACGUAGCCAAUCCGCAAGUUUGCCAACACAAGUUGAGGAGCCCGAGUUAGAGAAAUGUUUCAGGAAACGAACGCAUUCUUCUGGUGCAUCGCCACCAACGCCAUGCCAUCAGAAAACGCCAUCGCAGUCUUCUGCUGCAUCCCUGGAUGAAUAUACUGUAAUGAUGCCAACACAGCCACGAAGCCGCUCCGCAUCAUCGUCAUCAUCAACGUGUCGAAACUCAUUUAUGCCCACGCAUUCGUACCCAGAGGAAAGUUUAGAUAUGUCAAGAACAAAUGACAACGCUGGGACAGAUCACAAAGAUGAUGGCUACAUGCCCAUGCUGCCCGGUGUGGCACUCCCAAGCCCAACAGUAAAGAAUGGUGACUACAUGCCCAUGAGUCCAAAAAGUGUGUCAGCACCACAACAGAUUAUCAACCCAAGGCAGCAUUCGCAUGUCGACUCCAAUGGUUACAUGAUGAUGUCACCGAGUGGCAGCUGCUCCCCAGAUGGCACUACAAACUAUGGAAAAAUGUGGACUAAUGGUGUCAACCCAAAGCUCUCCAUAGAAAGUAUAGAAGGAAAAGUGUCAUCUUGUGGAGACUACAUAAAUAUGUCACCAGCCAGCUGUUCUACCACUAGCACACCACCAGACUCCUUUUUCAACCCUGCUGAUGAUCCUCCCAGGCCUAUGUAUGCUUACUUCUCUUUGCCCCGCUCUUUUAAACAUGCCAACAGGAAACAGGACCAGAGCCCGCUUCGAAUGUCACUGGGCUCCAGUCGUUUGGCUUAUGGAGACUCGUCUUCAUCUUCAACAAGCAGCGACAGCCUGGGUGGUCAAGGAAACUCGCAACAGUCUGCUGUCAGACCCAAAAGGUCAGAGGGCAACGUUAGGCUGACACGUCCUACAAGGCUUUCGCUGGAUGCGAGUAAAGCAAGUACACUUCCACGAACACGUGAGAGUCCGUACCCCCCAGAGCCCAAAAGUCCUGGCGAGUAUGUCAACAUUGAGUUCAAUGACAAGGCAUUUUCAGCCAGCUUAGCAUCACUGUUUCCACCUGUGUAUACAGGAAGUGAGCCUGAUGCCCCAUCAGGCCUUUCAUCAUCUGAGUACAUGAACAUGCAGCUGGGUUCACAGGCCAGGCGGUUGAGCCCAGAAAUGCAUAUUUCCACCUCCAGUUCAGACUAUGCCAUCAUCACACCAUCAAACUCUGUGUCCUCCCCUCCUCUGCCAUGCGAGAGCAUACGCGAACGUGACUACAUCAGCAUGCAAUUAAGAUCGACCCACGAUAGAUAUCCUGAUACAGGAAUGAUGCUAAUGCCAGACUCGUUUUCGAAUGCUGAUACCCCUCCCUGUUCUGUAUCGCCCAAUCAUGACAUCUCAACAUUAAGCGGUGCCCCCGGAAAAACAACCCUAAUUGGGCCAGGGCUCAGUGCAUUCACACGGGUAAACUCCACUUCGGGGCGGAACCAGUGUGCUAAAGUUAUCCGGGCCGACCCGCAAGGAAGGAGGAGGCACAGCUCGGAGACUUUCGCCUCCACAACGACCAGAGGGUCAGUCGACACAUCGACCACCUGUCAGUCAGGUGAUGUAAAGCGCCACAGCUCUGCCUCUUUUGAAAAUGUGUGGUUAAGACCCGUCGAGGCCGCAGCUGCUUCCCCUGCUCCUGCGUCUACGAUAACCAAUGGACGAAGGGAAACCGCUUCAGGCCCGCUUCUCACGUUAACUAAUCAUGACCAGAAUGGCCUGAAUUACAUUGAUCUGGAUCUAGUGCAAAACGGAGAGCAGCACGUUCCAGAUUGGAAUGCGUUUCAGCCUCGGCCAGUCGAAUUGGGAGCUGUGGAAGGUAUAGAGGAGCUCAGUGCCUACGCCAGUAUAAACUUCCAGAAAGCGGAUGAGACCAGAGGGAAUCUCGCAAAUAGAGAAGGAGAGGGCUAAAGGGGGGUCAGAUUUCCUCCCACUGAUGACUGAGCCUCUUCGGGCUGAUAAAUGGGCAUAUUUGUGAAUGGAGGCAGAAAGGGUUAGCAUGUCUACGCUUGCUCAGGAUGCAACGAGAGGAAAAACAGCACAUGUGUGCAUUUAAUGAAGAGUAGAAAGCCGGAGCAUCAGAAUCUCUCACCGUUCAUCACAAGCCGGACCUCAGAAACUGGACCUCAAGAAACUCACACUAACCGAAUCUUCCUGGACUGUAAAUGCAUUAGCUGGACACUACCAAACAACAUGGACCUCACAACAUAUCCGGACCUCACGAAUGCUGGAUUCCACUGACCUUUGGUCUCCCACAGCCUGGAUCCCUCAAAACCGAGCUUUCACUGUGCAUACUCCUUCAGACUAUACCAGAACUUGGUUAUGACUGUCCGAGCAAUAGCUGUUACAGACUUGGUACAAAUCGCUGUUAGAAAAGCUGCCUUUGAAAUGGUACUACAGCACCUUUCAGCUUUGAGGUACAGACGACGGUGCUGCUUUAGUUGUUCUGACACAAUGUUAAUGUAAAUGAUGGUACAUUAUUAGCCAAAAGCGUACGACAAAUGGUUUGGUACAGGGAUGCUCAACCGAGCGAUCGCAUGGGUACGGCGGCAUAACUAUCAGCAGUGUUUAUUAUACCAGACUUACAGAUGGUGUUAUACAUCACGAUACGACACACAUUUAUACACCCAGUGCAGACGUACAGACGACCUCAAGCACGCAGACUUGACCUCAGGAUUUUAAAACAUAGAGUUUACACACACACUGUGAGCCAUGUCUGACCUCAUGCUGUCAAACACGCACUGUGAUGUCUGUCAAACCUUUACGAAUUCAUGUUUCAUUUCAUAUGGUCGCAGCCCCUACGAUUAUAGUUGGUAUAUAUCACAUAAAGAAUAACAAGAAAGUGGUACUUAAUUGCUUUUGUUUUUUGAUUUUACUUUUCUACAGGCACAGAUUUGGUUACCACAGAGUUGGUACUCAAUAGUACAGUUGAGAUUUUGCAAAAUUUUUUGUAAAUGGCGCCAACAUCAGUAAAUAUGAAGCCUUACAGCCUUGCUUAGGCUAGAUUAGCGUUAUUUAAGCGAUUACAUUUAUGGGUGUGUAAACUUUUGACUGAACUAACGUUACUGAUCAUUAUAUCACCAGUAUGGGUCAAACCGAGUAAAACCCCGGUAACCGUUCAGUUUGUUACGGUUUAAGUCAAGAAAGCCUCAAUAGAGUGAAAGUCAAUACAGACAGCAGUACUGGUUUCUUAUUUUAGUAUCCUGCUGUUAUGUUUUGGAAGCCAGUAGAAGUUGCUCAACUUUUUUAGGCUAUUACAGUUAUUUCCUGUUUUAUUUUGCUUAAAAUAACUCGUGUUGUGACAUUGCUAAGGUCACAGAUUUUUUUUUUUUUUUACGGAAAAACUCGAUGUCUGUCAUUUUUUUGCUGCUGAAAUGAAAAACAAUGAACAAUCUGUAAAUUAUUGAAAAUAGAAAUGUUGUUCUUGGUUCUCUUAUGAGUUAAAGUAUUUAACAUUUCAUGGUUUUAUUUCUAUAGACACAUCUUUUAAAAAUGUGUCUUAAUAUUCUUACGUUUUGUUUAGUUUUUUUUUUUUUUUUGUGGGGAAUAUUUGCUUUUUGGAUAUGUGUAAUCCAACUUUUUAACGAAAUGAUACAGUUCUAUAGGGUUACCUUAAUUUUUUAAAGAUGUAUUAUAACGUAUUCUGCACAUCAGGGACUUUAAAUUUCCCUUUCCCACCAAGUCCAAAUUUAUAGUUUUUAUACUCGCAGUUCCCUUGACUCUGAUUGGUUGUGACAGUGGUGUUCUUGUAAACUGAUAGACUACUGUUAUUUGAUAGAUUGCAGUUGUUAGUUUAACACCCUGCGGUUGUGUUUGUGCGACCUCACUUUCGCAACCAUUGUGUGGCCAGACCUCCAACAUCUCAACCAAAUUUGUUUUCCCAUGUAUAUAAUGCAUUGUAUAAAGAUAGAUAAUGUUGGAUAUUUGGUUUUAUGACUGCUGAAAGCAAGCAGAUGAUCGGUCAUCUCGAGUGAAUUGAAACACGUAAACGGUACGAGUGUAUGUAUAGAUGUAUGCACAUGUAAACAGAUGUUUGUUUUACGAUUGAAAUUUCCAGUGGUAAAAUUACCCGUUUGAAGAUCAGUAUCUUCUGAAACCUUGAUGUUUAAUAAAGUAGAAGCGCUUAUCUUUUCAGA